rnacentral:rRNA from 1 species
CCUACGGGAGGCAGCAGUGGGGAAUUUUCCGCAAUGGGCGAAAGCCUGACGGAGCAACGCCGCGUGAGGGAUGAAGGCCUCUGGGCUGUAAACCUCUUUUAUCAAGGAAGAAGAUCUGACGGUACUUGAUGAAUAAGCCACGGCUAAUUCCGUGCCAGCAGCCGCGGUAAUACGGGAGUGGCAAGCGUUAUCCGGAAUUAUUGGGCGUAAAGCGUCCGCAGGCGGUCUUGUAAGUCUGUCGUUAAAGCGUGGAGCUUAACUCCAUUUCGGCGGUGGAAACUACAAGACUAGAGUGUGGUAGGGGCAGAGGGAAUUCCCGGUGUAGCGGUGAAAUGCGUAGAUAUCGGGAAGAACACCAGUGGCGAAGGCGCUCUGCUGGGCCAUAACUGACGCUCAUGGACGAAAGCUAGGGGAGCGAAAGGGAUUAGAUACCCCUGUAGUCCUAGCCGUAAACGAUGAACACUAGGUGUCGGGGGAAUCGACCCCCUCGGUGUCGUAGCUAACGCGUUAAGUGUUCCGCCUGGGGAGUACGCACGCAAGUGUGAAACUCAAAGGAAUUGACGGCNGAGAGNGCGAGCGACGACGAGGAGAG